AGAUUAGCCCAUAGAGAAGCAUUUCCUCAGAGUCAUUUUCAUUGAAAGGGAGAGGAACUUGGUUUAGGGAUUGGCUGUAGAAAGAUUCCGGCGAUCCGAAGGAAGAAUCGGAUGAGAAAUCGGAAUUUGCAGAGUGAAAGAUGGAGAAAUCCAUGUGAAAUUGGUUUGGUUUUUCUGAGCUAGUAUGAAUGUGCUCUGCUACUCUAGAG
rnacentral:misc_RNA from 1 species